rnacentral:rRNA from 1 species
GGGAGUACGUUCGCAAGAAUGAAACUCAAAGGAAUUGACGGGGGCCCGCACAAGCGGAGGAACAUGUGGUUUAAUUCGAUGAUACGCGAGGAACCUUACCCGGGCUUGAAAGUUAGUGACGGAUCUUGAAAGAGGUCUUCCCUUCGGGGCACGAAACUAGGUGCUGCAUGGUUGUCGUCAGCUCGUGCCGUGAGGUGUCGGGUUAAGUCCCAUAACGAGCGCAACCCCUACCGUUAGUUGCCAUCAGGUCAAGCUGGGCACUCUGGCGGGACUGCCGGUGUAAGCCGAGAGGAAGGUGGGGAUGACGUCAAAUCAGCACGGCCCUUACGUCCGGGGCUACACACGUGUUACAAUGGCAGGUACAGAGGGCAGCUACCCCGCGAGGGGAUGCGAAUCUCGAAAGCCUGUCUCAGUUCGGAUUGGAGGCUGAAACCCGCCUCCAUGAAGUUGGAUUCGCUAGUAAUCGCGCAUCAGCCAUGGCGCGGUGAAUACGUUCCC